UCUUAAGCACGGAAUUUUCUGGGUGACAUUUCUGUAAGAAUUGCAUGCAAAUGUCCCAGUGGAAGGUCGUGAUUGGUCUGGAAAGGUUAUCUCCAUUCGUCUAGAUGAUCGUCUUCACAAAAGAAGAAAGUUCAGGUGAUGCUCUUUGAAAUACACGCCGGGAAACGCUGUGUGUCAGGAAGCCGAGCCACAUUUCCUUCUGCUGGGCCUUGUGAAGGCUGGCCUCUGGGCUGUUAAGUGCCUGGCUCCUCGGCAGGAUUCUCUGUCAUGGGAAAGAGAGCACAAGCAGAGGGAGCGGCCGAGGGAG